rnacentral:lncRNA from 1 species
UUUGGUUGUCUAUUGCAAAACUUCUCGCAAGCUUCUUUACAUAUGGUUAGAUCAGGGUUUUCAAUUAAUUUCAUGCACUGAUUUGGAAUGCAAUCUUUGAUACACCUUUCUACAUUGAUUGAAUGAGAAAUGUGUGCUGAAAACACUACCAUAAUCAUAAUUAUGGUUAUAAAAACACUUGAUUUUUUGUGAAUUCCCAUGACGUAUGUAUUUAGUUAUCACAAAUUCUAAGAAAAUGUUGUACUUUUUUCUUUUAAAAUUG